CCGGGCUCUGCUCUCCCUCCCCGGAUGCCCCUCCUUCUCCAUCCCCAGAAGUCUCAGCCACUGAGAUUCCCCUUGUCCGGGAGGCUGGCUGGAGGGGAAGACCCAGGUGACUGCGCUUUGGAGGCUGGACCAUCGUGGGGCCUGUCUGUGCCCACUUUUACCCCAUUCAAGAGUUACCAGGGCCAGGCGCAGUGGCUCAGGCCUGCAAUCCCAGCACUUUCGGAGGGCAAGACAAGAGGAUCGCUUGAGCCCAGGAGCUUGAGAACAGCCUGGGCAACAUGAGCCAGCCAGGCCCCUGGGCCUGGAACAUCCACAGGAGGAAAGUACAAGAACCCCAGCACCCUGCCAAGCAGCAGGGACUCUUCAGACGCCCGAGGGCUGGUUUGCCCAGAGCCAGCUGGGAAGGACUCAUGGUGACCAGAAGGGGAAACUGAGGCACUGCUGAGCACCAACAGUCCUGGAGAGCUUUAAGAAUGGUUGCCAUCUGAGGCCAGGCACAGUGGUUCAUGCCUAUAAUCCCAGCACUUUGGGAGGCCAAGGCAGGCGGAUCACUUGAGGUCAGGAGUUCGAGACUUGUCAGGCCUCUGAGCCCUAGCUAAGCCAUCAUAUCCCCUGUGACCUGCACAUAGACAUCCAGAUGGCCUGAAGCAACUGAAGAUCCACAAAAGAAGUGAAAAUAGCCAGUUCCUACCUUAACUGAUGACAUUCCACCAUUGUGAUUUGUUCUGGCCCAACCCUAACUGAUCAAUGUCUUUGUGACAAUACACCCUCCCCACCCUUG